rnacentral:rRNA from 1 species
CUACGGGGCGCAGCAGUCGAGAAUCUUCCGCAAUGGACGAAAGUCUGACGGAGCGACGCCGCGUGCGGGAUGAAGGCCUUCGGGUUGUAAACCGCUGCCAGUGGGAAGGAAAUGCAUCAGGGUUCUCCCUGGUGUUUGACCGAUCCGCAGAGGAAGCGCAGGCUAAGUUCGUGCCAGCAGCCGCGGUAACACGAACUGCGCGAACGUUAUUCGGAAUCACUGGGCUUAAAGAGUUCGUAGGCGGCCUUUCAAGUCGGGUGUGAAAUCCCUCGGCUCAACCGAGGAAUUGCGCCUGAUACUGUUGGGCUUGAGGGGGAUAGGGGUGAGCGGAACUGAUGGUGGAGCGGUGAAAUGCGUUGAUAUCAUCAGGAACACCGGUGGCGAAGGCGGCUCACUGGAUCUCUUCUGACGCUGAGGAACGAAAGCUAGGGGAGCGAACGGGAUUAGAUACCCCUGUAGUC